rnacentral:rRNA from 1 species
AACGAACGCUGGCGGCGCGCCUAAUACAUGCAAGUCGAGCGAGAAGACGUAGCAAUACGUUUGUAAAGCGGCGAACGGGUGAGGAAUACAUGGGUAACCUACCCUCGAGUGGGGAAUAACUAGCCGAAAGGUUAGCUAAUACCGCGUACGCUCCUUGGACUUCGGUUCAGGGAGGAAAGCGAUACCGUGGGUAUCGCGCUCUUGGAUGGGCUCAUGUCCUAUCAGCUUGUUGGNGAGGUAACGGCUCACCAAGGCUUCGACGGGUAGCUGGUCUGAGAGGACGAUCAGCCACACUGGCACUGCGACACGGGCCAGACUCCUACGGGAGGCAGCAGUAAGGAUAUUGCGCAAUGGGCGAAAGCCUGACGCAGCGACGCCGCGUGGGGGAUGAAGGUC